UACAGAGGUCCCGAGCGUUGUUCGGAUUUAUUGGGCGUAAAGGGUGCGUAGGCGGCGGAGUAAGUUGGGUGUGAAAUCCCGGGGCUUAACCUCGGAAUUGCAUUCAAUACUGCUUCGCUCGAGUACUGGAGAGGAGGCUGGAAUUUACGGUGUAGCAGUGAAAUGCGUAGAUAUCGUAAGGAAGGCCGGUGGCGAAAGCGAGCCUCUGGACAGUUACUGACGCUGAGACACGAAAGCGUGGGGAGCAAACAGG
rnacentral:rRNA from 1 species